rnacentral:rRNA from 1 species
UUAGGAUUGACAGAUUGAGCGUUCUUUCUUGAUUGGUCUAGUGGUGGUGCAUGGCCGUUCUUAGUUGGUGGAGUGAUUUGUCUGGUUAAUUCCGUUAACGAACGAGACCUUAACCUACUAACUAGUGACACUAUCUCAAAUAGUGGGCACUUCUUAGAGGGACUAUGCGUGGUAAUCGCAUGGAAGUUUGAGGCAAUAACAGGUCUGUGAUGCCCUUAGAUGUCCUGAGCUGCACGCGUACUACAAUGGCACUUUCAACGAGUAUUACCUGAUCCGAAAGGAUUUGGGCAAACUUUUCAGGGAGUGCCGUGCUUGGGAUAGAUCUUUGUAAUUGUGGAUCUUGAACUAGGGAUUCCUAGUAAGCGCGGUUCAUCAAACCGUGCUGAUUACGUCCCUGCAAAAUGUACACACCGCCCGUCGCUUUUACCGAUGAGUGUUCAGGUGAGUCUUCUUGAUAGAGUUCGCUCUAAAAAUUAAACAAACCUUAGCACUUAGAGGAAAAAGAAGUCGUAACAAGGUUUCCGUAGGUGAACCUGCGGAA